GUUUGUAAGCCAACUCAGGUGGAUAAUAUGUGCAGUUAAGUGUGCUCGGGCGAAAGUAGUACUAGGAUGGGUGACCUCCUGGGAAGUCAUCGUGUUGCACGUCUUUUAAGGUGGAUAAUGUGUACAUGCCAACUCAGGUGGUACAGGGCAGAUGUGCUAGCUUGUGGCAUCCAGAUGGCUCUGGAUGGGUUUGACUAGUGUAUUACCUGAACCUGUGUCGUUGCUUUAUUUUUUGGACCCAGACAUAGCUUCAAAUCUGUGAUGAUACCCGUUGGGUCGGCUACCCAUUGGUCCUUGGGUACCCAACGGAUCUGUGGGUACCACAAAUUCAAAAGUAUUAAAAAUAAUUGCG